AACGCAUACUUUAGAGUAGCCUGGAUGACACCAGAACCUUCUCAGUUGUAAGGGAGAGUGGGUCUGGGGAAGGUCCAUCCACAGCUCAUUUCCAACGGACGCCACUCAAAUGCCUCUGGGCGCAACUGGACAGUCCUUCAACCAAUCAGACCAACGAUCCGGGUGAUGGAGCAGUGACAGAUGCAUCAACGAUGGCCAUCAUCGUGUAAAGCCCUCAUCAACGGUUGUGAUCGGUACCUCGAUUUGGAAAAAUUGGAAAUGGGUUUAAAUGGGCUCUUGGCCAGACUGACUUGCGGAACAAAUCUCUAAUUUGCCGGAAGAUCGUCAGGGUUUUCCCAGGCC